rnacentral:rRNA from 1 species
AUUGAACGCUGGCGGCAUGCCUAACACAUGCAAGUCGAGCGGAGCGGCAGACGGGGAAGGGUUAGUAAGGAAUCUUCCUGGUACUGGUGGAUAACGUCCGGAAAUGGGCGCUAAUACCGCAUACUAUCACAUUAGCAUAGGUCGGACUAGCUAGUUGGUGGGGUAAAGGCCUACAAAGGCGACGAUCCGUAACUGGGCUGAGAGGAUGAACAGUCACACUGGAACUGAGACACGGUCCAGACUCCUACGGGAGGCAGCAGGGGGGAAUAUUGGACAAUGGGCGAAAGCCUGAUCCAGCCAUGCCGCGGGUGUGAAGAAGGUCUUCGGAUUGUAAAGCACUUUAAGUUGGGAGGCGUUACCAACAGAAUAAGCACCGGCUAACUUCGUGCCAGCAGCCGCGGUAAUAC